UGCAGAACUGCACGCUGCUGUGGAAGUUACUAGAUCAUUCAACCCACCCGGAGACAAACGUGACUGGUUACGUAACUUGUCAAAGGGGAAAAUUUUGCUCCACUGGUUGUUACUGGGCGUCUGAAGAACGGCUACUAUCUUUGGCUUCCAACUGNNUUAUCACUGGCUGAAACGUGGGAAAGGUCCAUAGCCAAAUCCUGACCAUGGCUGCAGUGCAUCACCAAGGGUACCCGCUCAGGGAUUCACUGUACUGGGAUGAAACAGAGUGCCUCAACUACUAUGGGAUGUUGUCUCUCCAUGAAGUCUUUGAAGUAGUUGGUUCUCAGCUGACAGAGACUGACAUUGAAGUCCUGUCAUUCCUUCUGAAUGAAACUUGCUCCGCGACACAUCCUCUCGAUCCCGCAAGCUGGACAGUUGAACCCCGUGAGGACAAUCCAGAUGAUCCAGGUGUGGCCCCAAGUCCACAGCUGCUAAAAGCAUGGCAGCAAUUAAAGCCUACGGGGUCACAGCAGCCCUUUUUGGACCCAAAACCCAAGAGUGGCCUUGAGCUGUUGCUACAGCUCGAGAGGAAAGGAUACCUUAGUGAUGGAAAUCUGGCACCACUACUACAACUUCUAAGAGUCCUUACCCGUCAUGACCUGCUACCCUUAGUGUCCCACAAGAAAAGGAGGACAGUUUCUCCAGAGAGAAUUGGACAGAGGUAUGAGAUAGAAAGCACAGAGUCUGUGUGUACUUCUGGAAUAAGUAGCAGCUGCAGGGAGACAGAAACUCCUCUUACAUCUUUCGCACAUCAAUUAGAAACUGGUAUUUACACUCCUGUGGCUGGGCCAUGUGCAAGUAGGCGGAGGAAGAAGAGGGGAAAUGGCUGGAGCCGUAAGUCCAAGAAAACAAGCAGGCAAAGUCAUCCUCUGCCUCCACCACCAGCGCCACAAAAAGUGUCCUGUGGUAAGUGCAACUCAUGCAUUUUCAAAGUGUCUUUCUUUUUAUUUAUUUUUUGGUUUUUUCUCUUGUCUUCUGUUGUACCUUCAUCCUGCUAUUUACCCCUGCUGCUCAUUUUUCCUUCUUUAAACGGACGAGAAUAUAAUUUUCAGCCUAUUAACACCUCCCUGGCAUCAUCAUAUUUCCUGUUUAGUUUCUUCAAUUCUGAUGUUGUUUAUCUAUGCUAAAUCUUGAAUGCCAAAAUGUUAUUUAUUUUUUUUUCCGUUGUCACACCAAAAUGCAUAAAAGCCCCAAGUUCAUGCUUAAGAACAUUCGUGUUUAAAAGCUAGCAUACAAUUUAACAUGUUAUUUGUAGACUUAGGAGAAACGGACAAAUUAAAUAGCAGUAGGGAUGGUAAUUGAUAAGAAUUUAGUAAUUCCGAUUUCUUUAUCGAUUUUGCUUAUUGAUUCGGCUCCUUAUCGAUUUCUCAUUGCCUCCACUUUGAGAGUUGCCAGCACUUCUAAGCAGCAUAUCAAAUACAUGCAAAUUAAUUGCGUACGUAAUUAACUAGGUGGUGAAAUGUUUGUGCAUGUUGGAGGCAUUUCCCCUCUUUGUUGUGAUCAGUGUUGGGGUCACUACUCAAAAAAAUAAAUUAAAAAACUUGUUGCACAUAUUUCACAGAACACAUUUCUUAAAAGUAAUGCAGUACGUUAUUUAAUUACUUCCAGGAGAAAGACAUUUGUUAUACUACUUGUUACAUUACUUUGGUGUUACUCUGUAAAAUGAUCUGAAACUCACCGUCUCAUAAUCACAAAUCCUAAUAAGGACAAACGUGAUCUUUCUCUUAGUAUUUAGGUAUGAACACAAAGCCGACAAUGCAAGUCGAGGAUAAAAAAAACCAUCACCAAGAGACUUUAAAGCAAUCGUCUUGGUGAUUCCACUGUAGAAACAUGAAUGGGUAGAAACGGAGACUGCAGUAUGACUGCUCAUCAGUUUGUUACCUGUUGAAGUUCAGCAGUGGCUGCUUCACCAUAACUGAUGGCUCACUUUAUCAUGGUGCUGGGCUUAAGUCAGCAUUCACUCAGCUUUAGCAUCACUCUGAGUUCCUCUUAGCUUAGCGUUAGCAUGCUGUGCUUGCGGAAUGUUGAAGUUGCGUUAACAGUAUAAGGCAGUUGUUUCUGUCCCAGUCUCCACUUUACCAUUGCGCUCUCAUCCUUUUAUGCAAUAAAAAUAAAAGAAAUGUCCAUAUUCACGUCGUAAACUGCACUACUGUUUUCCUCCUCUUACACAUAAACUAAAUCAGCUGAAUGUAGCAAGAGUGCAAGAACGGAUAAGCAGGGUCGAUAGGCAGGCAGACUAACGAUUUGAAGGAAGUAGACUACUGGGGACCAGUUUUUGACAAGAACCAGUUCUCGAUUCCCAUCCCUAAAUAGCACAGAAGCACAGAGCGGUACACUAGAUUCACACCUACUUAUAAAAAUAUGGAAGAUGGUGUGCUUGCAAAGGCCACUGUAUUUUACCUCUUCCUGGAGCUGCACAGAGUCCAAACAUGUUCCAGGGUUGAGGAAACUUUUAUUUUCCUUCUGUUUUGUUUUUCAACCCAGUGUCACAUUUGGUGAAAAAUCCAGACUGCAAUAUUGCCUAAAGCUCUCUGUGCUGCACAGACCACAGCGGUCAUACUUACCAAAUGUGCUUGAAAAUCCUAGAGCUACUUUUAAGUCUGAGAACUCAAUGUGAUGCACUUCCCUUUGAGGUUUUUUUUUUAAAGCAUUUCCACAUUAUGUUUUUGUUGGUACACUAUGAUCUUGUUGAGACUUAACGAUUACCCUUUAACUGUCGUUUUUAAACAUACAACAUCAGAGUUUUGUUGCCUUAUCAGUUUCUCCCUGUGGGAGUCCUUUAUAUUCUUUUCCCUUCAUUCCACCUCUCUUUUCUCUAACCUUUUGGACUAUGUUCAGCUGCUGCUGUUGAUAAGAAUGCUCACUGGUAGGCUGUGUCUUGUCCUUUUUGUUUUUUGUUUUCUUCCCCUUUCUUUCAAUAUAAGUGUCCAGUCCAAUCACUACCAGAUACAGCCAUUGUUCUGCUUUAUUGCUAAGCUUGAACCAGAGUGGUUCUGACAACUGUCAAACCUUACAUAUCCCCCCAAAAUCACUUUUUAGCAGUUGUUUGAAACUGUCUUAACGCCACUGAAAAGCUGCACUAUGUAAUCCAUUGUCAACGUCCUUGCCCAUAUUUCCACUACUACCUACCUUUAAGAAAUCAAUGGUAGUUUGUCUUGGUACAAAAAGACAGAGAUAACACUAACAUCAGUUUCCCUUUGUAUGAAGUUUGCUUAGUCAUUCAUGUAGACUUUCCCAAACUUCUUUUGAAUGUCCAUCUUUGCCUGUUGGUCAGAAAUAUUCAUUACAACAAAAGCCCGAUGAUUCUCACUUCAUUCAAAAAAUAAAAGAGGAAGAAAUCAUUAAGGACAGCCUUUCUUAGCUACUCAGGAUGAGUGAUGUGCCUGUGACUAUGAACUGUUGCUGUCUUGACUCCACAUUUGAUUCCACCAGGUUGACUCAAGAAUGUGACUCAGAUCGAGUAACCUAAGACACAAUGGAUCAUGGAGACUGAGGAACAAAACAAAAAAGUCUGUCACUCCACUCUGUCUGCACAUACUGCAGUGUGCGCGAUCAACUCAGUCAUGCGCUCUCUCACAAGUCUGGGCCGAUGCCUAAGGUAAAAGAGGCUCUCCCCCUUGUUACAGCAGGGGUUAGUGCUGCCACUUUGCUCUGUAUACGAUGCUUGUGUAUCAUAAUGUAGCUGCUCCUUACCCUGUCUCCCUCAGAAAACAUAAUCUGCUUUAACAGAAAAAAAUCAUCCUGUAAUGUUCUCUAGUCUUGUGCACUGUGGAAGAAAAAAAGCUUCUAUUUGAGAUUUUUAGCUUCCUGCCUAUUAAUGACAAGAGUUAUUGGUGUCAGUGUUUCACAGAACUACCAGAGUCCUCAGCAGUAAGCCUCAAACCCAAAGACUGUACAGUGAUCUUGGGAAAACCUUGAGUCAGUUUGAUUUUACUCAAACCAUACCAAAAGGGGAAGCACGUAACGAAAGUAUUUUAAAUUCCCCAAUAUUUGAAAUCAAGGGAACUUAACAUAUUUUCACAAAUAUGUCCAGCAGAAAUUCCAGUAAAUGUGAGUAAGGCUUGGGAAAAGAAUGAAACUAACCUCUUCCAACCAGGUGACCAGAUGGUUUAUAUGGGCAAGAAUAUGACAUAGCUGAAAACCUUUAGCUGUAAAGAAAACUAAACUGUUAGCCACACUGACAACAUAGCCACUCAUCACAUUGUCUAACCUUAAUUUAUGUACACGGCCUGGGAAACCAAUGCAGCAUAGUUCAAUCUUACAGGAAAAUUAAGUUGGCAGCGUAGUAACCGAGGAAAAAUACAGCAAGUAUGUGUACUGUCAGAGUCAGUCUGUCCUCCAUUUUAGAGCUGCCAUUUCAGAUUUUCCUGCAGAACUUUCCACAGUUAAUUAAACUUUUCAUCGUAUGAAGGGUGGUGAAUGCCUUUGUUGUACAACAGCCAGUUCUCUCUUAGGAAAGACCUAAUUGGUCAGUCUCUAGUCAUGGGCUAAAGCCUAAAAAGAGAGCUGAGAGAAGUUGCACAAGUCUAGUUUUGUCUUGGACAACAUCAAAUUAAAACAUGCAGAAAGGUUAUUGUGGAAGCUUACAGAAAAAUGUCUGCUUAACUUUGCUACUUUAAUAAAAUUCAGUAGCCUGUCAAGGAAGCCACCAGACUUAAAGCAAAUUGCUCCAGCCUACUAUUGUUCAGUCUGAAGGAUUCAUAUUCUGAAAUGGGCACGGUACACCAGCCCUGAUCUUUGCUCAUGUUAGACAGUGGAGUUUCUAAAUUUUAUUAAAGAGGAUGACACCAAAUGAAAUCAUGGAGGUUUUUAGCUGUGGUGAAAGUUUCAGUAGUAAUGCAGAAGUGAAAGCUGUUCUGGUCAUUUAUAAAGAAAACGUAAUGUCUGAUGCCUAACCCAAACAGAGAUUUAGGUUAUGUUUGACUGAGGUCAUGGUGAGAUAAAUUAGGAUUUACAAAAUGAAAUUAGAACAAGUACACUGAAGAGUUUAACUCUGAUUGCAAAGUGGAAACAGAAAUGUGUUGGACAUGUUUGUGAAAAUACGAGUCAGCACUGCAUAUGAACCCAUUGGAGACGUGCAAGGCUUAUAAAUGGCUGCCCUGUGAAUUGAACUGACUCAUAUUAUUUUGGCAAACUGAAACAUCACGAUGCCAGUUCUGGAUGCUCAAGGGACAAAAAAAAAUCCUAAUUGGGCAUAGAGUCCUGUUCUGUAAGGCCAUGUAUUCAAUUGCACCAAAUCUAAAAUGGCUGCCAACAGACAGCUCUUUAAAAAAAAAGAGAAAAAAAAAUGUCCACGUAACCUUUACUCAAGCCGUUCUGGGGAAAAUCACCGAACAGUGCUCUGCUGAAGGAAGCUCAUGCUGUAUCUUAUCUCUGUGCCCUGUGAGAGCCCUGGUGUGCGUUUGUCAAGACGGAGCAGAGAUAGAUAGGGCAGUUCAGUCCAAUGCUGGCCCAUAGCAUUUGAACAGACCUCAAAUACUCUUUCUUGUCACCAUUCAUCAUCUCUUAGGUCAUUUUCAGUGAAGUAUCUCAAUUACAUUCUGACAAUGACAACUGCUGUUACAAAUGUCUUAAAGGUGUUUGCACAUUCAGCUCAGUAGUGUUUUUGUGUCUAAAUGGGGUGCUUGUGAAGGCCCUUCCUUGGUUUAAUGGGCACUGUUGAUUAACGGUGCGGCACAAAAAAAGGGCCGGAAGGUAAGGUUAAGAGAUUUGGUCAAGGUAAGGGUAAUCCAAGUAUCCCAUUUAGAUUUUACCUUGUUAUAGUUCAGAGCAGUAAAUGCAUUUCUGAGCUGAUUAAUUUGCCAAUACAAACUAUUGGCCUUACUGAAGCCUCAUUAAAACUAAGAAGUGACUGCUGUGCCAUGCCUGCUUGAUGUUGGGGGAGGAACAGUCCAUUUAACCACUCUGCAACCCACUUGUGCUUGUCUGUUUCUCUCCUUUGUCUGUGUUCGCAGUUCUAAACAGAGCACCCUGUGUGUCAGGAAAACUAUAUCCUCACACACAAAGAGAAGGAGAGAAUGAACAGUAAAUAUUCAAACUACACAAAACGUUGUUCAACAGAAAAACGGAUCGAUAAAGAGUUGAAGCUCUCCGUGCCAAGUGAGUCCUCGUAAAUGGGUACUUAAACUUUUUCUCUUUUCCCCCCUCCCUCCUUUUGGUGGGGUGAGAUGAGGAGCCAAACGGACUUGGUGUUUAAAGUGAGAAAAUGAAAGCUGUGGUUCCUAAUGUCCUGUCUAAGUGGAUGUCUCUAUGUGUGAUGAAGCGUGAAGUGCUCUGUAACCCUAACAAAAUGACUAUCACUGUGUUCCUGUGCUUUUAAAUGGCCUCCUCCUCACUGUCACUAUCUCUGCCUCCAUCCUCCUCAGUAUGAAAUGGGAAGGCAAAAUGGAGGACAUCCAUAAAUAGAGUAAUUGCAUGAAGGGCAGGUGUUUAUUGUACCCUCAGCCCUCACACACACUAUAAUGAUCCAAAAAGGUCAAAUUGUUAAUGGUGCUUGAACUUCAUAUUUUCCUCUGUCCAUACUGAAUAUUGUAUAAAGUUAGAUUAUGUGUAGUCUGUUCUAUCUUCUAUGAUAGUUCACACCUCAAAAUACAAAAAUGCUCAAACUGCAAAUUUAUCCAUGUGCUUGCCACAACGAUAGAUACGUAAUCUUUUUUUAUAUAACUUCAUUAAAUCACAAUGGACUCCUGCUAGUGAUCAACAAGUGUGAGUUUCGAAGUCAACACAAAUCUGUUGGGGUGAAAAACUGUAGCUUAUUGUGUUGAAAACGUAUGUGACUCGGACUGCAGCGGGUUUCCUUCAGGAUUUCUCAGGAGUUUUGCUGCAUUCAAUUUACCCUCUACCUUCACAAGCUGCUGCAGCGAAGCCUCCACACAGCAUGACGCAGCCACCAUCACACUUGUGGGGAUAAUGUGUUUGUAGUGGUGAGGAGUUACUGACUUGUGAAAGCAGUGGGCAGAAUUCAUAAAAUAAGCCUAAUUCCACGUGGAUCCUCCUCCACUUUUGUAAUGCCAGCUUCCUCUAUAGUAGCCCGCUGGUUUUAUAGGUAGUGUUUCCAUGUCAGCUUUAGGAUUGUGUAGACUUCCUGUAGACGUCUUGGUGCUCUUCUUCACUAAAUGUUGCACAAGUACAGUGUGCUCUAUAGAGAUGAGCAAUUUUUUUUCAUGAUAUUAAACUGAUGAGUCAUGUAACUUA